UUUGAAAUGAUGUAUGGAAGAAUCUACACUGCCUAAACUCUCAAACCAUUUGCUGAAACAGACUAAGAGAUUGAAUAUACAUUUGCAGAAUAUAUGGCAAAGAUGAUGUCCAAACUAAAUGCUCUCAGACUUCUCUCCCCUACACAGGAACACUGUGAGGCUGUAUCCAAGGUUGGGCCAGGAGAUUGUGUCCUAAUCAACAUCCUCAAAAGAAAACACUGCCAUUCGCCCAAGUGGGACAGACCAUAACAAGUGCGACUGUCAACACCUACCGCAGUCAAAAUAGCUGAUAGAGCCACGUGGAUACUUCUUGCUCAAUGCAAACGGGUAAGCCUGCACACGGCUGAGGCAGAGGAAUAAAGAUCAUCUUUCUUUGCUGUUUCCAGGGUGUGCCCACUGUGACAGAAGACCAGCCUACAAAGGGGUUUAGAUGUUUAGAUUCUAUUCGUCUCAACCGCUGGCAGAAGAUACAGUACUGUCCUGGGGGAUUAGAACCUAGUGGAAAUUGUGGAGUGAGAGGUCUUUUCCUCUGCAAAGUCAUGGGAGGUUACCAAAAAGUGGGCCAAAGGAUGUGGGGGACUCUUUGCAACGACUGUAGGAUUUUACAUUGUUGUUCUAGUAACAUACUUAUGAAUGAUACAGCAAACACAGGCCCUGGACGAAUAUCCACGAUGGGGCCUGGCUAAAGAUCAUCCGUGAUGGAAAUGGGUCCAAGACUCACCAGUACCUGAGGAACGUUCCAAUGCAUUCCGUACGAGGGAGGAGAGAAGCAGGGGAUGACAGCGGGAUCUGGUCCGAUGGCCUGGGCAUUCCCUGAGGCAUUCCAGACCACUACAAAGCCUUGAACCCAGCAGCCAAUGGCCUGGCAUCUACCCUCUGCCCCUGGUGCGUCAUCGGAGCACACACAGAUUGGAUUAACUUCCUUUACUACGCUGAGAUGAAGUUCCAGAACCUGACCACAGACGGACUACAAAAGAUCAGAGAAGAACUACACGCCAACUCCAGGUUAACGCGGCAAAACACAACCGUGCUUGAAAUUCUCACUGCCAUGAAUGGAGGCAUUUGUGUCAUGCUUGGUACUGACCAAUGUUGCACAUAUGUCCCUGAUAACACCCGAUAAUGGGAAAGCCUUAGAUCUGAUCCUACAAAAGAUGCAAAAAGUUGUCCAACAGAAUGCCUGAUGGGGAACAGGGCCUUCAAGGACACAGCAAAGAAACCUUGUUCGAAUGUUAUCUGAAGCCUAGGCGAGCUAAUGACACACACACAGUCGACAUCCACUAUGUUGGCCUACAAAUGCAAAGUAUACAAAUGUGUGAUGAGAAAUAUGAUGACAUUUUAAAUGAUUAACUUAUGGAGUGAUGUUCAGUAAUGAUCUCUGUUCCGAAAAUCCAUGUGAUGAAGCUCAGAGUGAUGAUUUUGAGGUUAUCCAUUGAAAUUGAUAAUUGACGAAUUAAGAAAGAUGAUUUGUGAUUUUGAUUUGAAUUGUGAUUUUGAUUCUGAAUUAUCCAUUGAAACGGAUAAAAGGAGGGACUGAUGGAGAUAAUUUCCAAACACUGUUAAUGACUUAAGAAUAUAAUAAUCAAGUGCCUUGUAUUAUUAAUUACCUUAUAUGAAUCAUGUACUUAUGUAAGCAGGAACAUGGCUUUUCUGUGUUUCUGCGUGUGUGUAACUUAGAAUAUUAGGUGCCACUUAGUCUGUACAUGUACAAGAGCAUGUUUAGACCAGAAGUGAUAAGAAGGUUCGAACUGUGCUUCUUCCGACCUUGCAAAACUUCCAUCCUUGCCUCGGAUAUCAGAAAUCCAC
ensembl:lncRNA